rnacentral:lncRNA from 1 species
UCUCAAUUUUCACAAUGCAUCCAAGUGUCCGCCCUCCAAUGAUAAUCAACACGAAAACUGAACCAAGGACAGUGCUCCUUCUUUACCUUGCUUCAAGAGUUCUAGCCACUAGAACUCGACUAGCCUCAUACUGGUAGGUUUCUCCAAAAAACUGACUCCAUCCUCUCAGAACCUUCUCUGAACUUUCGAUUCUCCUUCUUUAGGACCCUCACAACCCUUGUUAGGACCAGAUAAGGCUUUGUCUUAAAUCCCAAAGUCUUGUCCUAAAACUGAGAUAGGUUGUAAAAAAGAAAAGAGAGCAACGGAG